UAUGAAAGUAUGGUUGCGGGCACUUGAGCAUCAGCCCUUAGUUCUGGCAGAGCAGGAAUCCAGGCAUGCCUUGUCCACAUUGUACUUUAUCUCUGAGACGGUUCUCUAUAGGAAGGGGGAAGAUUGUCAGUGAAACAAACAGAAAUACUUGACCAUGGAGACGUUGAUUCAUUGUUCUAUGAAAGCGAGACAACACUAGGCUGGAUGAAAGCACCGCUCCUUGC